UAUUAUUUAAAUUCAUAGAGAGUUUUAAGGUUUGCAGUGAACUUUUUCUCAUAAUAACCUUAUGAUGUAUUAUUAUUCCUAUUUUACAGAUCAGAAAUCUGAUGCUCUGAGAAGCUAAGUAACAGAUUAUAUGACUUGCCCAAGGUCACACAAUUACUAAGUAGAACUGAGAUUCAAAAUUCUGUCAAGCUUUUCUGAAGGCUGCAACAGAGGUUGUUUCAGACAUUUGGGUCAGCCAGUGCAAAUGUCCGCAGGAAAUGGGAUCAAAAAAAGAGCUCAGACUUCAUCUAUACAGUGCCAUAGAAGCACAGACUUACCCUGAAUAGUGCCAAAAAGAACACACAGGUCAAAAGAAAGAAACCAAUCCAGACGACAGAUAACUGAAUGGUGUUUCCAGCCUUGGCAGCAACCUUCUGAGAGCAAGAAGUUGGAAAAUCCCAUGUCCAAAUGCUGCUUAUCCAAUAGAUCAUCUUUCAUUCCUAAAAUGAUCACUUCUGCUUCUUGGAACCCUUAGCUCCCUUCAAAACACAAGUGCCUCUUUCUUCAGAAAGAAACUGAAGAAAAAUUUCUUCAGUUUUUAAUGGCAGCUCCCCUGCCCAUCAAUUUCUGUAUAUUUAUUUAAAAUAAAUUAUCUAUUUCCUU
rnacentral:lncRNA from 1 species